rnacentral:rRNA from 1 species
UACGAAGGGAGCUAGCGUUGUUCGGAAUCACUGGGCGUAAAGCGCACGUAGGCGGAUGUGUCAGUCAGGGGUGAAAUCCCGGAGCUCAACUUCGGAACUGCCUUUGAUACAGCACGUCUUGAGUCCGAUAGAGGUGGGUGGAAUUCCUAGUGUAGAGGUGAAACUCGUAGAUAUUAGGAAGAACACCGGUGGCGAAGGCGGCCCACUGGAUCGGUACUGACGCUGAGGUGCGAAAGCGUGGGGAGCAAACAGG